CGGGGCUUAAAGUCUUGUAAUUAUAAUGAUGGGAAUUUAAACCUCUUCCAGAGUAUCAAUUGGAGGGCAAGUCUGGUGCCAGCAGCCGCGGUAAUUCCAGCUCCAAUAGCGUAUAUUAAAAUUGUUGCAGUUAAAAAGCUCGUAGUUGAAUUUCUGCUGCAUUGCUUGUGUCCCUCUGGGGUCUGUGCAUGUGGCUUUUUUCGGACGGAGUUUCUUUGUCUGAAUGUUUACUUUGAGAAAAUUAGAGUGCUCAAAGCAGGCUUUCGCCUUGAAUAGUUUAGCAUGGAAUAAUAAAGUAGGACUUUGGUUCUAUUUUGUUGGUUUUAGGUACCAAAGUAAUGGUUAAUAGGAACAGUUGGGGGCAUUCGUAUUUAACUGUCAGAGGUGAAAUUCUUAGAUUUGUUAAAGACGAACUACUGCGAAAGCAUUUGCCAAGGAUGUUUUCAUUAAUCAAGAAC
rnacentral:rRNA from 1 species